GCCCCUCAAGCACCGACGCCAUUUUACCUUCAUGCGACCGAGACGGUGAGUUGGAUUGCUUUUCUCUUUAUAAAAUUACACGGAAGAAAUACUUUUUGUUGAAACUUUUAUUCAAAAUAUGAUUGGUGGAAAUUUAGAAAUUACUAACUGCAAGUGUUUUUGUCAGGUUUACGGUGUUAUGUUCGUGAGGUGUAGAGAUGCAACGUUAGCCUGCAGAAGAGUGAAAGUUUUCAUUUCCUGAAAUAAGAAUUGGCCCAGACUUCUGCAGUGUCAAGUGAAGGAAGCUCCUCUCAUAAGAUUGCAAACCUGGAGUCUGAUGACUCACUCACUGAGCGAGAGUGAAGGAAGCCCUUCAAGAAAGGAGCAGAAUGCUGAAGAUGAAGCCAGAAUUAAGCCAAGUUCCUGGCUUUUCCCAAGACCUUCAAGGACACGACUGACCUCGGAAUCAGCUGUAAAGGAGGAUGAAACCGAUGUUUAAGAACGGGACAGUGAUAUUGCAUCAAUUUGUCUCCUUCAUUUGGUUCCACCACCAAAAAUGUCCUCCUAUCAAGCUGAAAAACAUCUUCAAAAAGGUGCUAUAUUAACACUAAAAAUUCAACACUAUGAAUGGUGUACUUUUAAUACUAGAUAGAUUGGGACCAUAUAUGAUCUUCAGUAGUGUUAAAAUUGACACUUUAAGUGUUAAACUGACACCGCAUUUUUUACUGUGAACCCAUUGUGAGAUGUUUUUAAAUUACAAUACUUUGCUUAUGUAAUACUUAAUUAGGAAAAUUAUGCAAAUGAAUCAACACAAGAAGGAUGCUUAAAUUACUCAACGCAGAUUUACUGUAUCACGUGCACCAACAUCAAACAACUGUUUCUGUGAGCAUCAGGUUAAACUGGAUCUUUCUCAUCUCAAAUUACAUAAUGCAUGUUUGUUUUUCAUUUUAAAAGUUUUUUUUGCUCUUGAAUAUUUUACAGUAGGUGUCACCACAUUGAGUGAUUGACUAAAGAAAGGGUGUUAGACAUUCAAAAUGUUUACUGUUGGAGGACAGAGAAACAACUGUGUAGCUUUAUUAAUUCCAGUCAUGAAAUAAAAAAUGACCGAUAACAGGUUUGUGUUCUUUCCUCCACAAAAACUAAAUAACCAAAUAACAAUUUUUGUACAGUACAGUAUAAUUCUCUCUCUCUUUUUGAAUCUGGGGCCAGUUUCACUAGCACAGCUGCUAUCUUAUUUACUAUCUUAAGAACUAGUCUGACCAGCUAGCUGUUAGCCAAGAAGUAAUCAGUCU